GUUACUUUGGGUUAGUGGGAAAAUUUUUGGUUCUGUAACCAAAGGGGGUCAAAGGUUCGAAUCCUCUUAGUGGAA